ensembl:lncRNA
CAAAGCUUGUUAGCAGAGUUACUUCCUACCAAUGGCUCUUUUGGUCUUAUGAGGAAGUAAUGCUCUUGUAUCCUGACAAGGCCUUUAGCAGCUCCAUCUGACCAUUUCCAUGCUACUUUUCCUGCAGUUCUCUGAAAAAUCUGACCUCAAGAAUUACCUCUGCAACCAUUUGAAGUUGGUAUUCCAAACAGGCCUUGGAUGGGAGGAUUACAUCACAGACCUGGUGAGAUAUUCCUGUCAGUAUUUCCUAAUGCAGCAUUUACUUUUUAUUGAAGUAGAGGGACUUUGUUGACUAGUGUUCAGAUGUUGGCCCACAACAUCCUUGUGAUACUUUUUUCCAGAAUUCCUUCACAAUGAAUUGUUUCCUGAACUUCUUUUGUGCUGUUGACUAUUCUUGCCUAACUGUCUCUCACACCAAUAAAAUGAUCCACUCUGCUUAAGAUUACCAUGGACUUCACAGUUUGUAACAGUACGUCAGAUGAGCAUUUCUCCCUGGUUCUGGACUCCAGUCCUUGGCUUUGCAUUCACUGCCUGGGCAGGCAAUGUCUAUACCCUCAAAGGCAGAUCAUUGGAAAAGUGCAAUGUGUUUUGCCAUGUAUUGAAGACAAAUUGCAAACAGCAGAUCAAGUCAGUUGUAUCCAUGGAAACGUCACUAUGCAGUUCCUUCGCUACCCUUCUGAUUAGGAUCUGGCUGUUCUGUAGUCCAGAUCUCCC